GGCUCUAAUAGCGUAUAUUAAAAUUGCUGCGGUUAAAAAGCUCGUAGUCAGGUUUUAGGGUGAUGCAGCGGCCUGGUUCAUUCUGGGUGCGGUCAUCCUAGGUUUCGGGAAUUAGGCAGGUUGUUCUUAACUGAAUGGCUUCGCCAUCCUGAUCAUUUACUGUGAACAAAUUAAAGCGUUCAAAGCAUGCGUUUCCGCAUGAAUAACUCAGCAUGGAAUAAUACAUACGGCCUGCGAGAAGCUCGUAGCUCAUUCUCAAGGGCAAUGGUUAAUGGGAUUUGUCGGGGGCAUCCGUAUUGAGUGGGGAGAGGUGAAAUUCGUUGAUCCAUUCAAGACGCCCAUAUGCGAAAGCAUUUGUCCAGUAAGUCUCUA
rnacentral:rRNA from 1 species